CACCGCCCGUCACACCAUGGGAGUCAGUUGCUCUAGAAGUCGGUGCGCCAACCUCGGAGGCAGCCGCCCAAAGAGUGACUGGUGACUGGGGUG
rnacentral:rRNA from 1 species